GCAGUAGCCUUUGUAUUGUUAUUCCCCUUAGAAUUAAAUCGAAAUUUGAAGUGAAUCAAAGUAAAACAGAAACAUGGCUCGUCGUAAAAACAAGGAACAAAUGCUGAUGGAAAUGUUUAAGCGGCCCAAAGAAGUGGAGCCUCGGCAGACGCUAGAAAAUCAGAAAAAGCCGAAUCCGAAACGGAGAACAAUAAAUGCAGCGGCUGCGGCCAAAAGAUACAACUUUCCUCGAACUCUAAAUAGGAGGGUUAUCCGGCAGAUUUGCAGAUUGCCACCGGAAACGUGCAAUCAGAAGACGCAAGCGCAGGUGAUGUACUUCAAUUCGAACUACGGAAGGAAUAAGAACGCUAGUCUCAGCCCAAAAGAUUGUCACGAGCCAACUUGUCCCAAAGUUCUCAGUGCCCUAAAAGCCAAAGAAAAUCUGCGUAUGAGUCCUGCAUCAAGGCAGAGAUCGCAAAAACACAAAAGAAAAAGCCCUUAAGUCUUCGAAGCGGUUUUAAAUUUUUUAAAUAAUUAAUUCCCAUAAAAAUGGACAAAGAUUCCAUUUUUAUUGUAAUGAUCGCCAUGAUCCUGUGAAUUUUUGUAUACAAUUUUACAUUGAUUCUUUAAAAUUGAAGCUGUCGCAAACGAUGCUGUUGCCGAGCCUUGAGAAAGCCCAUCGAAGUAGAAACCCUUACUAGUUAUUUGUCCUGCAUGUGUUGUCCUUAGCUCGUCUUCAAAAGGGCUUUCCCCGGCAUUCCGUUGGUGUCACGUAGAUUUUUCGUUUGCUUUGAGUUUUCAGUUACACGAUUUUUGAAAGGAACGAGGUGGAGCAUCAGCAGCAGCAGCAGCUAAGCAAUCACCAAAUAAAAAGCCAUCGGACAGUUGCUGAGCUCAGUUUCAAUUUUCACUUAAAACAAAGUUGGCCAACGAAGGGAACGGCGGAGGUGCAGAAGGACAAAAACUGGCUGAGCCGAACUGCAUCUCACAUGCACAUCCCCAUCCUCAUCCCCAUCCACAUCUACAUCCACAUCCUCAUCCACAUCCACAUCCAAAGAAUCUGAGGGUCGCUCGGGCGUUAACAAAGCGCGCGAGCCGGCUGCCAAAUUGUUUUUGCUGCCGCACAGGGAAAAUAUUUACCAGCUUGCAAUACAUAAAGCUAAUAGAUAUAUUUACAAAAAAUUAUAUAUUUUAUCUUAUCAUGAUACUAAGUGUGUUACUUAUAA